GGGUUGUGAGGUUAAGCGACUAAGCGUACACGGUGGAUGCCCUGGCAGUCAGAGGCGAUGAAGGACGUGCUAAUCUGCGAUAAGCGUCGGUAAGGUGAUAUGAACCGUUAUAACCGGCGAUUUCCGAAUGGGGAAACCCAGUGUGAUUCGUCACACUAUCAUUAACUGAAUCCAUAGGUUAAUGAGGCGAACCGGGGGAACUGAAACAUCUAAGUACCCCGAGGAAAAGAAAUCAACCGAGAUUCCCCCAGUAGCGGCGAGCGAACGGGGAGCAGCCCAGAGCCUGAAUCAGUGUGUGUGUUAGUGGAAGCGUCUGGAAAGGCGCGCGAUACAGGGUGACAGCCCCGUACACAAAAAUGCACAUGCUGUGAGCUCGAUGAGUAGGGCGGGACACGUGGUAUCCUGUCUGAAUAUGGGGGGACCAUCCUCCAAGGCUAAAUACUCCUGACUGACCGAUAGUGAACCAGUACCGUGAGGGAAAGGCGAAAAGAACCCCGGCGAGGGGAGUGAAAAAGAACCUGAAACCGUGUACGUACAAGCAGUGGGAGCCUCUUUAUGGGGUGACUGCGUACCUUUUGUAUAAUGGGUCAGCGACUUAUAUUCUGUAGCAAGGUUAACCGAAUAGGGGAGCCGAAGGGAAACCGAGUCUUAACUGGGCGUUAAGUUGCAGGGUAUAGACCCGAAACCCGGUGAUCUAGCCAUGGGCAGGUUGAAGGUUGGGUAACACUAACUGGAGGACCGAACCGACUAAUGUUGAAAAAUUAGCGGAUGACUUGUGGCUGGGGGUGAAAGGCCAAUCAAACCGGGAGAUAGCUGGUUCUCCCCGAAAGCUAUUUAGGUAGCGCCUCGUGAAUUCAUCUCCGGGGGUAGAGCACUGUUUCGGCAAGGGGGUCAUCCCGACUUACCAACCCGAUGCAAACUGCGAAUACCGGAGAAUGUUAUCACGGGAGACACACGGCGGGUGCUAACGUCCGUCGUGAAGAGGGAAACAACCCAGACCGCCAGCUAAGGUCCCAAAGUCAUGGUUAAGUGGGAAACGAUGUGGGAAGGCCCAGACAGCCAGGAUGUUGGCUUAGAAGCAGCCAUCAUUUAAAGAAAGCGUAAUAGCUCACUGGUCGAGUCGGCCUGCGCGGAAGAUGUAACGGGGCUAAACCAUGCACCGAAGCUGCGGCAGCGACACUAUGUGUUGUUGGGUAGGGGAGCGUUCUGUAAGCCUGUGAAGGUGUGCUGUGAGGCAUGCUGGAGGUAUCAGAAGUGCGAAUGCUGACAUAAGUAACGAUAAAGCGGGUGAAAAGCCCGCUCGCCGGAAGACCAAGGGUUCCUGUCCAACGUUAAUCGGGGCAGGGUGAGUCGACCCCUAAGGCGAGGCCGAAAGGCGUAGUCGAUGGGAAACAGGUUAAUAUUCCUGUACUUGGUGUUACUGCGAAGGGGGGACGGAGAAGGCUAUGUUGGCCGGGCGACGGUUGUCCCGGUUUAAGCGUGUAGGCUGGUUUUCCAGGCAAAUCCGGAAAAUCAAGGCUGAGGCGUGAUGACGAGGCACUACGGUGCUGAAGCAACAAAUGCCCUGCUUCCAGGAAAAGCCUCUAAGCAUCAGGUAACAUCAAAUCGUACCCCAAACCGACACAGGUGGUCAGGUAGAGAAUACCAAGGCGCUUGAGAGAACUCGGGUGAAGGAACUAGGCAAAAUGGUGCCGUAACUUCGGGAGAAGGCACGCUGAUAUGUAGGUGAAGUCCCUCGCGGAUGGAGCUGAAAUCAGUCGAAGAUACCAGCUGGCUGCAACUGUUUAUUAAAAACACAGCACUGUGCAAACACGAAAGUGGACGUAUACGGUGUGACGCCUGCCCGGUGCCGGAAGGUUAAUUGAUGGGGUUAGCGGUAACGCGAAGCUCUUGAUCGAAGCCCCGGUAAACGGCGGCCGUAACUAUAACGGUCCUAAGGUAGCGAAAUUCCUUGUCGGGUAAGUUCCGACCUGCACGAAUGGCGUAAUGAUGGCCAGGCUGUCUCCACCCGAGACUCAGUGAAAUUGAACUCGCUGUGAAGAUGCAGUGUACCCGCGGCAAGACGGAAAGACCCCGUGAACCUUUACUAUAGCUUGACACUGAACAUUGAGCCUUGAUGUGUAGGAUAGGUGGGAGGCUUUGAAGUGUGGACGCCAGUCUGCAUGGAGCCGACCUUGAAAUACCACCCUUUAAUGUUUGAUGUUCUAACGUUGGCCCCUGAUCGGGGUUGCGGACAGUGUCUGGUGGGUAGUUUGACUGGGGCGGUCUCCUCCUAAAGAGUAACGGAGGAGCACGAAGGUUGGCUAAUCCUGGUCGGACAUCAGGAGGUUAGUGCAAUGGCAUAAGCCAGCUUGACUGCGAGCGUGACGGCGCGAGCAGGUGCGAAAGCAGGUCAUAGUGAUCCGGUGGUUCUGAAUGGAAGGGCCAUCGCUCAACGGAUAAAAGGUACUCCGGGGAUAACAGGCUGAUACCGCCCAAGAGUUCAUAUCGACGGCGGUGUUUGGCACCUCGAUGUCGGCUCAUCACAUCCUGGGGCUGAAGUAGGUCCCAAGGGUAUGGCUGUUCGCCAUUUAAAGUGGUACGCGAGCUGGGUUUAGAACGUCGUGAGACAGUUCGGUCCCUAUCUGCCGUGGGCGCUGGAGAACUGAGGGGGGCUGCUCCUAGUACGAGAGGACCGGAGUGGACGCAUCACUGGUGUUCGGGUUGUCAUGCCAAUGGCACUGCCCGGUAGCUAAAUGCGGAAGAGAUAAGUGCUGAAAGCAUCUAAGCACGAAACUUGCCCCGAGAUGAGUUCUCCCUGACUCCUUGAGAGUCCUGAAGGAACGUUGAAGACGACGACGUUGAUAGGCCGGGUGUGUAAGCGCAGCGAUGCGUUGAGCUAACCGGUACUAAUGAACCGUGAGGCUUAACCUUACAACGCCGAAG
rnacentral:rRNA from 1 species